AACGAACGCUGGCGGCAGGCUUAACACAUGCAAGUCGAACGCCCCGCAAGGGGAGUGGCAGACGGGUGAGUAACACGUGGGAACAUGCCCAAAGGUACGGAAUAUUCUCGGGAAACUGGGAGCAAUACCGUAUGUGCCCGAAAGGGGAAAGAUUUAUCGCCUUUGGAUUGGCCCGCGUUGGAUUAGCUAGUUGGUGGGGUAAAAGCCUACCAAGGCGACGAUCCAUAGCUGGUCUGAGAGGACGACCAGCCACACUGGGACUGAGACACGGCCCAGACUCCUACGGGAGGCAGCAGUGGGGAAUCUUGGACAAUGGGCGCAAGCCUGAUCCAGCCAUGCCGCGUGAGUGAUGAAGGCCCUAGGGUUGUAAAACUCUUUCGUGGGGGACGAUAAUGACGGUACCCCAAGAAGAAGCUCCGGCUAACUUCGUGCCAGCAGCCGCCGUAAAAC
rnacentral:rRNA from 1 species